ACUGGGCAAGCUCUGUUACCGCAUGGGAACAGUGGGUGCCGGAGUAGUCAGGAAAGCAGGAGCUCACCCAAGCCCUUCCCUGUCUGCAAAGCCAACCUCCUCCAAUCAUCAAAACACCUAACCCAUUGUAUAAAAAGUAUUGCCUGAUGCUACUUUGCAAUUAGAAAUGGAUGUAAAUGAAAGGAAAUGCAAUGUGAUUUCGUCAUUAGACGCUGUCUUAGUUACUAUUCCUGGCUGUGAAGAGACACCAUGACCAAGGCAACGUAUAAAGGAAAGCAUCCAGUCGGUAGCACUGGAGGAGUGGCUUAGAUCUCAUAGCCUCAUCCACAAGCAGGAGGCGGACGGAGAGAGCAAGACUGGACCUAGCAUGGGCUUUUGAAACCCCAAAGCCCACUCUCAGUGACAUACCUCCCCCUAGACGCCCACACCUCCUAAUCCUUCCUAACAGCCCAUCAACUGGGAACCAGUUGCUGAAGAGGCUUUGUAGAAAUUAACGUUCAUCCUAUCUCUGGGCAUCCACCAUUUGACUUUUAUUUUUCUUAUAAAUGAGAGGAGAGGUAGCUCAGUGAGUUAAAAGCAGUUGUUGUUUACAAUUGUAAAUACAUGAGCAUAACCUUGUCGCUGAAAAACAAAACAAAUUAAAAGCUCUUCAAA
rnacentral:lncRNA from 1 species